rnacentral:rRNA from 1 species
AGAGUUUGAUCAUGGCUCAGGAUGAACGUUAGCGGGAGGCUUAAUACAUGCAAGUCGAGCGGUAAGUUUUUAUAGCAAUAUGAAGACCUAGAGCGGCGCACGGGUGAGUAACGCGUACACGACCUGGCCUAAACUGGGGGAUAGCCUUGGGAAACUGAGAGUAAUCCCGCAUGUGAUUAUGUUACUGAUGGUGAUAUAAUUAAAGCUUCGGCGGUUUAGGAUGGGUGUGCGUCUGAUUAGCUAGUUGGUAGUGUAACGGACUACCAAGGCGAUGAUCAGUAGGGGGCGUGAGAGCGUGACCCCCCACACGGGUACUGAGACACGGACCCGACUCCUACGGGAGGCAGCAGUAAGGAAUAUUGGUCAAUGCCCGGAAGGGUGAACCAGCCAUCCCGCGUGAAGGAUGAAGGGGCUCUGCCUUGUAAACUUCUUUUGUAUGGGGCGAAAAAAGGGGAUUUAUCCUCGACUGACGGUACCAUAAGAAUAAGCACCGGCUAACUCCGUG